CCCUUAGAUGUUCUGGGCCGCACGCGCGCUACACUGAUGCAUUCAACGAGUCUAAAACCUGCUCUGAUAGGGGUGGGUAAUCUUUUGAAUGUGCAUCGUGAUUGGGAUAGAUGAUUGCAAUUUUUCAUCUUCAACGAGGAAUGCCUAGUAAACGCAAGUCAUCAGCUUGCAUUGAUUACGUCCCUGCCCUUUGUACACACCGCCCGUCGCUCCUACCGAGUGAAUGAUCCGAUGAAUAUCAUGGAUUGAGGAUGCAAGUAGGUUCGCCUAUCUUCAUCUUCGAGAAGUGAAGUAAAUCUUAUCAUUUAGAGGAAGGAGAAGUCGUAACA
rnacentral:rRNA from 1 species